CGAAGGAUGCAAGCGUUAUCCGGAUUCAUUGGGUUUAAAGGAGCGUAGGUGGCCUUGUAAGUCAGUGGUGAAAUCUCUCGGCUUAACUGAGAAAUUGCCAUUGAUACUGCAGGGCUUGAGUACAGAUGCCGUUGGCGGAAUAUGACAUGUAGUGGUGAAAUACAUAGAGAUGUCAUAGAACACCGAUUGCGAAGGCAGCUGACGAAACUGUAACUGACACUGAGGCUCGAAAGUGUGGGGAUCAAACAGGAUUAGAUACCCUGGUAGUCCACACUGUAAACGAUGAUUACUCGCUGCUGGAGGGCAACUUUCAGUGGCUAAGCAAAAGCGAUAAGUAAUCCACCUGGGGAGUACGCCGGCAACGGUG
rnacentral:rRNA from 1 species